UACGUAGGUGGCAAGCGUUGUCCGGAAUUAUUGGGCGUAAAGCGCGCGCAGGCGGCCUCUUAAGUCUGAUGUGAAAGCCCCCCGGCUCAACCGGGGAGGGCCAUUGGAAACUGGGAGGCUUGAGUAUAGGAGAGAAGAGUGGAAUUCCACGUGUAGCGGUGAAAUGCGUAGAGAUGUGGAGGAACACCAGUGGCGAAGGCGACUCUUUGGCCUAUAACUGACUCUGAGGCGCGAAAGCGUGGGGAGCAAACAGG
rnacentral:rRNA from 1 species